GGCAAAACUGGAAUGGUCAAUGGAAUCUUGUCUGCUUCAGUGAUUGAUCUAGUGUCGUUUGGGUGGCUCUGAUGGGCGCAUAAGGUUAAGACGUUUUAGAGGUGAGAAACGAAAUAUAGACUUGGCUGUUAAACAAUAUACAGCAAAACAACCAAACAUGGUAUGGGGUGCUAUAUGUUUGGAAGCAGAUCACCUCUAGUUCCUACUAACGGCACUCUGACAGCUCGAUGAGAUAUUG
rnacentral:lncRNA from 1 species